GUCCCUCGGAAGCGGCCAGCUGCCUGGAGGGCCCGACUCCUUCUGUGCACUUGUGAUAGUCACUCCUGCACCACAGAGCUCCGCAGUGCUGGAUCCUCCUCCUAGAAGCUGGAAGUCAUUUGCAGCAGAAGCAGGAGGGCGGAAGCACUGCUCAGCUUUCUUAGUCAUGGAGCUUCUUUACACAUGAGGCUGAUUUCAGCUUCUGUUUAAAUGGAAAACUACCCAUUUAUGUUGCUCCUUCUUCAUGUGACUAAUGACACACUAAUCCUAAAAAUGCUUUUUUCCCCCUUCUCUUCUGGUGAUGCUGGGAUGGGAGCCGUGCUGCAUGCUCAGCUAGUUAGUAAAUCACACUUGAGUUCAUAUCCUAACAGUAAAGCCUGUGUUCUUUAAACCAUGUUCUCAUUCUUCAGCAUCUACUGAAGAAAUCUGGCACUUGGAAAAGUAUCGUGUAAGAACUGGAUCAAAUGUGUCUGUCUUAGAAUAAUGUCAUGCCAAAGAGAGAGUUGUGGGUGUUGAUUUUGAUCCAAAUUUAUAGGGUCUUUGCAGAAAUUACAAGGUGCUAAAGUGUCAAAAGUAAAAAAAAAAAAAAGAAUCUACUAUGUACCUAAAACAAAAUUAUAAUUUAAAUUCUAUAUUAGCCAAAGACACACUUUUUAAAAUAGUACCUCAGAAUUUGAAAUGAGUUUUGUUAAAUUAUGGGUAAUAGUAAAUAAUAGACACAAACUCCACCAUAAUGUACACAUCUGUGUGUCAAUAGAGAUGUCCUGUUGCAAGUUAAAAUGUUUGAAUGGCAGACCUUUAUAGACAGGGACUUAUCUAUGUAUGUUAUAUUUUUCAAACAAAGAGUAAAGUACCCUUUGCUAUCUAGUAUCAGAUCAAAGUCUGUCUCUUCAGGGUCCCCUUAUAGUUGGGAAUGGUCUUUAUUUCCCGCUUCUACUCCUAAUCUACUCCUAAUCCACUUGUCUUUCUUUGACAGUAUGCUUCCCAGUGAAGAAUCUGAAGGACAUGAUUUUUAAAAUUUAUCUAUUUAAGGAGGCAUUAAAAGAAAUAGAAUUGAAUAUAGGAGAAAACCAAACUGUAUAACAUGCCUGAAUAAAUGUGCUAUACUUAAAUGUUUGGAUUUUAUUUUUGUUUUAGUAAAUAUACUUAAACUUUAAAAAAAAAGAUGUAAUAGUUGAUGUGUAAAGAACACAGAAACAUUUAGAUAAGAUAAAUACAGAGUCAGAAAAUGAAUAUCUGUGAAUCCAGUACUAGAUUCAGCUGUGGACUGAAGGACUAGAACUUGAUCAUUUCCUGUAACAAUUCUCCCCAAACCUAUCCCUAUGCCACCUUCCUCCUGAAUUUUAUGUGCAUCAUUUCCUUACAUUUUUUAAUUUAGUAAUUUAGUUUUUUUAGUGUAUGUUUCACUAAUGUACA
rnacentral:lncRNA from 1 species